GACGAACGCUGGCGGCGUGCUUAACACAUGCAAGUCGAACGGAAAGGCCCUGCUUUUGUGGGGUGCUCGAGUGGCGAACGGGUGAGUAACACGUGAGUAACCUGCCCUUGACUUUGGGAUAACUUCAGGAAACUGGGGCUAAUACCGGAUAGGAGCUCCUGCUGCAUGGUGGGGGUUGGAAAGUUUCGGCGGUUGGGGAUGGACUCGCGGCUUAUCAGCUUGUUGGUGGGGUAGUGGCUUACCAAGGCUUUGACGGGUAGCCGGCCUGAGAGGGUGAUCGGCCACAUUGGGACUGAGAUACGGCCCAGACUCCUACGGGAGGCAGCAGUGGGGAAUAUUGCACAAUGGGCGGAAGCCUGAUGCAGCAACGCCGCGUGCGGGAUGACGGCCUUCGGGUUGUAAACCGCUUCCGCCUGUGACGAAGCGUGAGUGACGGUAAUGGGUAAAGAAGCACCGGCUAACUACGUG
rnacentral:rRNA from 1 species